rnacentral:rRNA from 1 species
ACAGCAGUAGCCGCGGUAAUACGUAGGUGGCAAGCGUUGUCCGGAAUUAUUGGGCGUAAAGGGCUCGCAGGCGGUUUCUUAAGUCUGAUGUGAAAGCCCCCGGCUCAACCGGGGAGGGUCAUUGGGAACUGGGAAACUUGAGUGCAGAAGAGGAGAGUGGAAUUCCACGUGUAGCGGUGAAAUGCGUAGAGAUGUGGAGGAACACCAGUGGCGAAGGCGACUCUCUGGUCUGUAACUGACGCUGAGGAGCGAAAGCGUGGGGAGCGAACAGGAUUAGAUACCCGAGUAGUCCCUGUCUCUUAUAC